UGUAUGAGCAUGUUGGAUCCUUGCUUGCGCAUCGACAAUGUCUCAUGCAUUCCAUUUCAGUUGUUGCCUCAAGUUUUACUUGGUCGUUGCGUGUUUCCUGUGCUAAAUACCUAACAUGAAGGCAUUCCAUUUGAUGCGACACUAUAUCCACCUUUCGAUGCCCCCCAAGAGGAGUGCGUUUUGUUGGUGGACGUCAAAUCAUGCAUUGUGUUUCACAUCCUUUGCAUGCUUGUUCAUGCUUUGGGUUGUUGACCCAUGAUGUUAUGUUUGAUUUCUUGGAUAUGGAAAAUUAUGAGGGUAUGGGUCUUUGGCCUUUAACAACCCCAAAAUAGGCGUUCGACGCUAUAANCNAACGACUGUCGUGUUUGUGUUGGACGAGUCCUUGUGGCUUUGCUCAUACGGCACACAUGUCGGUGAGGAA
rnacentral:misc_RNA from 1 species